CAGAUUUCUGACCCUCAACAAGUAAAUGUAUCCGAAGGUGAAGGUGCGGCAAGAGACUGAAGAAGAAGCUGAUCAUUAUGAUUACGGUUUAACUUCUCUGCGCUCCUUGAAUGGCUCUCUUUCGAUCACUAUUCUUCUUUUUAUCUGCAUCUCUUGUUCGCCUUUCACCACUUGAUUUUGCUUUCCAUUUCUUAAUCUUUCGUCAGUAUUUCAGAAAACAUAAAGAGUCGUUCUUGGAAUUCUUAGAAAUUUGUGAUCCCAUGAUCGAGCUUUGCAAAUUAGUCUCAACAAUUAUGUUUUACUUCCCUCCAUCCUUGAAAAAUAUAAACUUUUUAAAACGGCACAUAUUUUAACGCACAAUUGAUAUAAUGAGAGAGAAGAAUUGGUAAAAGUAAGAAAGAGAACGUAACAUUAGUCAAUUGUGGGGUCCACUUUCUAAAAUAGAAAGUUUAGAAAGUUUAGAAAGUUUCUAUUUUUAAGGACAGACAAAAAUGAAAAUAGUUUCUAUUUUAAGGGAUGAGGUAGUAAGAUUAAAUUUUACUUUCUCCGUCCACCAUUUUAAGAGAGUGAAAUGAGUAUUGGUUUUAUAAUGGAUUGUGAGUAUAUAAAAAGUUAGUGGAAUCUAGAGUCUACAUAUUUAAAGUGGAAUAAAGUAAAUAGUUUUAAAAAUAAUGGACAGCCCAAAUUGGUAAAGUGGCUCUUUAAAGAUACUUAAAGUGGAAUAAAGUAAAUAGUUUUAUAAAUAAUGGACCGCUCAAAUUGGUAAAGUGGCUCUGUAAAGAGGGAAGAUUAAAUUUUUAUAUUUGUGCAAGUGUUUAUAUAUGAAACUUUCUGAGCAUCACAACUUGAUUAGAGAUGUCCCUUUUCAUGUUGUGUAAAUGAUUCUCCGGUAUCAUUUGUAAGGGUUCCUGGUUCCGAUUUCCCCAAAUCACCAUCUCCCGGCUUUCAGGCAUCCAAGGGUUCGAUAUUUACCAACUUCCUUUUCGAUUUACUGAAUGUAAUCUAACACAUAUUCCUUCCUCUCAACCAGAAACUAACAAAGCACCCAUCAGCGGGAGCAACAAAACCAAACGACCUACUUCAGCUCCACGUCGUCUAUGUCGUGCAGUCUUAUCAAGUCCAGACAGAAAUGGAGUGAUCAGUAGAAGCAAAACACAAACAAGGAGAGAACUACUCUCACCUUUAAACAGCCAUACUUCAUGCCUGGACAGACA